rnacentral:rRNA from 1 species
GACGAACGCUGGCGGCGUGCCUAAUACAUGCAAGUAGAACGCUGAAGAGAGGAGCUUGCUCUUCUUGGAUGAGUUGCGAACGGGUGAGUAACGCGUAGGUAACCUGCCUUGUAGCGGGGGAUAACUAUUGGAAACGAUAGCUAAUACCGCAUAACAAUGGAUGACACAUGUCAUUUAUUUGAAAGGGGCAAUUGCUCCACUACAAGAUGGACCUGCGUUGUAUUAGCUAGUAGGUGAGGUAAUGGCUCACCUAGGCGACGAUACAUAGCCGACCUGAGAGGGUGGUCCGCCCCCCUGGGACUGGGGCACGGCCCCGGCUCCUUCGGGGGGCAGCAGGAGGGGAUCUUCGGCCAUGGGGGCAACGCUGGCCGAGCAACGCCGCGUGAGUGAAGGAGGUUUUCGGGUCGUUAAGCUCUGUUGUUAGUCAAGAACGGGUGUGAGAGUGGAAAGUUCACGCUGUGACGGUAGCUUACCAGAAAGGGACGGCUAACUACGUG